rnacentral:misc_RNA from 1 species
GUUCAACACAAUACGCCACUUGAUCUGUUGUACCAAAAUAUAAUUAAGCUUAAAAAAGAUUUAAUAAUGCUAUCUCUACAAGGGACAAAGAGAUUCUUUAAACUUGAUUAAGAUAAUCAAGAACGCCUCGGAACUCUAAAAACCUUCCUUGAUCCUAUAAGCUUUGCAAUUAAAAUAAUCAAGACACCAGCUUCAUAUUCUAGUGUCUUUAAUCUCCAAAUCACCUACUCUUGUCACAUUACGCAGCUCCAAAAAAGAGCUAGAGAAUAUCUAAACAAAACCCAUAAAUGAAAUGCAAGAAUAUUCUAUAAAUCUUGACAAAAAAACCCAGUUUGAGACUCGAUUACUAUUGACAAGU